rnacentral:rRNA from 1 species
CCUACGGGGUGCAGCAGUGGGGGAUAUUGCACAAUGGGGGGAACCCUGAUGCAGCGACGCCGCGUGGGUGAAGGAGCGUUUCGGCGCGUAAAGCUCUAUCGGCAGGGAAGAAGCUGACGGUACCUGACCAAGAAGCCGCGGCUAACUACGUGCCAGCAGCCGCGGGAAUACGUCGGGGGCAAGCGGUAUCCGGAUUUACUGGUGGUAAGGGGGGCGCAGACGGCAAUGCAAGCCAGGAGUGAAAGCCCGGGGCCCAACCCCGGGACUGCUCUUGGAACUGCAUGGCUGGAGUACAGGAGGGGCAGGCGGAAUUCCUAGUGUAGCGGUGAAAUGCGUAGAUAGUAGGAGGAACACCAGUGGCGAAGGCGGCCUGCUGGACUGUGACUGACGUUGAGGCCCGAAGGCGUGGGGAGCAAACAGGAUUAGAUACCCGUGUAGUC